UUGCUCCCGGAUGUUAGCGGCGGACGGGUGAGUAACACGUGGGUAACCUGCCUGUAAGACUGGGAUAACUCCGGGAAACCGGAGCUAAUACCGGAUAGUUCCUUGAACCGCAUGGUUCAAGGAUGAAAGACGGUUUCGGCUGUCACUUACAGAUGGACCCGCGGCGCAUUAGCUAGUUGGUGGGGUAAUGGCUCACCAAGGCGACGAUGCGUAGCCGACCUGAGAGGGUGAUCGGCCACACUGGGACUGAGACACGGCCCAGACUCCUACGGGAGGCAGCAGUAGGGAAUCUUCCGCAAUGGACGAAAGUCUGACGGAGCAACGCCGCGUGAGUGAUGAAGGUUUUCGGAUCGUAAAGCUCUGUUGUUAGGGAAGAACAAGUGCGAGAGUAACUGCUCGCACCUUGACGGUACCUAACCAGAAAGCCACGGCUAACUACGUGCCAGCAGCCGCGGUAAUACGUAGGUGGCAAGCGUUGUCCGGAAUUAUUGGGCGUAAAGGGCUCGCAGGCGGUUUCUUAAGUCUGAUGUGAAAGCCCCCGGCUCAACCGGGGAGGGUCAUUGGAAACUGGGAAACUUGAGUGCAGAAGAGGAGAGUGGAAUUCCACGUGUAGCGGUGAAAUGCGUAGAGAUGUGGAGGAACACCAGUGGCGAAGGCGACUCUCUGGUCUGUAACUGACGCUGAGGAGCGAAAGCGUGGGGAGCGAACAGGAUUAGAUACCCUGGUAGUCCACGCCGUAAACGAUGAGUGCUAAGUGUUAAGGGGGUUUCCGCCCCUUAGUGCUGCAGCUAACGCAUUAAGCACUCCGCCUGGGGGAGUACGGUCGCAAGACUGAAACUCAAAGGAAUUGACGGGGGGCCCGCACAAGCGGUGGAACC
rnacentral:rRNA from 1 species